UUUUGUUCUCGAUUUCGCUAAUCGAGAAGAAAAGAUCUUGAACUCGAGAAUAAAAGAUCUUAAAGUCGAGAAGAAAUUAGUCUAAAACGUUAAAUGAAUUGAAAGAGAUAAAAAUUGCGAGAGAAGUUCUCUCUCAAAUUGUUCGGAAAGUUACCGAAGUAUACUUCGGUCCUCGUCGUUCCCCUUUAAAAUUUUCGGCCGCGGCACGGGGUAGUUUUGUCUUUGAUUGAUUGAGUGUUGAAAAGUGGAAGCAUGGAGACGGAGACAAUAGAUGACCGGUUGUUCGACUUAUUGGUCUCGUUUGAUUUGUUGGAGGCCCAGCUAUACUUGCACAAUAAGCGCCGGUGUAAAUUUCGACUGUCUGGAAUUUAUCACCGCGGAGGAAAUUAAGGUGGCGAUUCUGCCAAUCGGAAUUAGAGUACUCUUCCGCGAAAAGCUGUUCGCUUGGUAAAGUUUACUCAAGAAAUAUCUUCGCAACCAUCGUCUCCAAGGCCAUCGCCACAAAGGGCACCGCCAGCACUUUUAUCUCCGUUGCCGUCUAAUGCGCCUAAAUUAAAAUACACAUUCAACAAGGUAUGAGUCUUUAAGUUGUAAUAAUUAUGUAACCUUAAUAAGCUUAAUCUUAAAAUUUGUUGUAUUUUUUACACCUCCUCUUCAUACAUAUGUCUUAAAUAAUGAUAAGAAAAUUUUA